rnacentral:rRNA from 1 species
GUGGGGAAUCUUCCGCAAUGGACGAAAGUCUGACGGAGCAACGCCGCGUGAGUGAAGAAGGUCUUCGGAUCGUAAAGCUCUGUCUUAGGGGACGAAAGAGUCCAGGUCAAAUACACCUGGGCCGUGACGGUACCUUAGGAGGAAGCCCCGGCUAACUACGUGCCAGCAGCCGCGGUAAUACGUAGGGGGCGAGCGUUGUCCGGAAUUACUGGGCGUAAAGAGCGCGUAGGCGGCCUGCUAAGUCAGGUGUGAAAACUUAAGGCUCAACCUUAAGAUGGCAUUUGAAACUGACAGGCUUGAGGGCAGGAGAGGAGAGCGGAAUUCCUAGUGUAGCAGUGAAAUGCGUAGAUAUUAGGAGGAACACCAGUGGCGAAGGCGGCUCUCUGGACUGAACCUGACGCUGAGGUGCGAAAGCCAGGGGAGCAAACGGGAUUAGAAACCCCAGUAGUCC